CAUGUAUUUAUUUAUUUAGCCAUAACCUAUGUGGUACUGUUUGGUUGUUAGCACUGCGUUCGACGUAAUCGACUUACUCCUCCCUCGAACUUGCCGGCCUUGUGCCAAAAUUUAAAACCACUGUUAUACCAUUAUGCAUCAGGCGACGAGCUGACAGAAUCGUUAGCAUACCGAGAAAAAUGUGUAGCAGCAUUUCGUUCGUCUUUACAUUUUGAGUAUAAAUUCCGCCGAGGUCGACUUUGCCUUUCAUCCUUUCGGGGUAGAUAAAAUAAGUACCAGUUGAACAUUGGAGUCCAUAACUUAUCCCUCUCUCGAAAUUGCUGGCCGUGUACCAAAAUUUGAAACCGAUAUUAUACCAUUAUGUAAAUGAAUCGCACUUCAGAGUAUAUCUAUUUAUAUUUUUCCCCACCCCCACCCGAUACUAUCACUUGACAUGUUGGGAAGAGUAAGUUAUAUUCAUCCAGCUGAAUUGUCAGGUAACAAUAACGCCGACCUCAUAAGCAGAUGCAGAAAAGUCCCUCGCGAAGUGGUGUAGCUACUUGAUAACAACAACAUUAAAUACAUACAGAUAUCAAUUUUUCGUUGUGACGCACCUGCUAGAUGCUGCUUAAAUAUCAAAUUUUACUUAUUAGACAACGAAUGUAAUUGAUAAAUCAAUUUGUUCAAGGUUGCUGACCCCAAAACUGAAAUUGUGCCAAGGUAAACGGAGAAACGAAUGAUUUUCUUUCUAUAUUUGAGGAACACAUUUUAAAAAAACUUUACAAAGAGGAACACAGAUGUAUUAUAUUAUCUACAAACUCUAGUUCAACGCUUCAUGGUUAUUAAAUCAAAUUUCAUUCGA